rnacentral:rRNA from 1 species
UGGGGAAUUUUGGACAAUGGGCGAAAGCCUGAUCCAGCAAUGCCGCGUAUGUGAAGAAGGCCUUCGGGUUGUAAAGCACUUUUGUCCGGAAAGAAAUCCUUGGCUCUAAUACAGUCGGGGGAUGACGGUACCGGAAGAAUAAGCACCGGCUAACUACGUGCCGGCAGCCGCGGUAAUACGUAGGGUGCAAGCGUUAAUCGGAAUUACUGGGCGUAAAGCGUGCGCAGGCGGUUUGCUAAGACCGAUGUGAAAUCCCCGGGCUCAACCUGGGAACUGCAUUGGUGACUGGCAGGCUAGAGUAUGGCAGAGGGGGGUAGAAUUCCACGUGUAGCAGUGAAAUGCGUAGAGAUGUGGAGGAAUACCGAUGGCGAAGGCAGCCCCCUGGGCCAAUACUGACGCUCAUGCACGAAAGCGUGGGGAGCAAACAGGAUUAGAUACCCUGGUAGUCCACGCCCUAAACGAUGUCAACUAGUUGUUGGGGAUUCAUUUCCCUAGUAACGUAGCUAACGCGUGAAGUUGACCGCCUGGGGAGUACGGUCGCAAGAUUAAAACUUAAAUGAAUUGACGGGGUCAUAGCUGUUUCCU